UUUGAUUUUUUUGUGAAUGAAAUAAUUAAAUGUUGCGCCGUCAACGAUUGGAGCGUCAUCUAACUUGAGGUCAGUUGAUUACGUUGGUCGUCAAUAAAGUUGCAGUUGCUCAAGUUCGGAGUCUUAUUUACUCGUUAUUCAUUUAUUUUUUUCCUUAUUAUUUUUUAAAUUAUCAGUAUUUUUCAAAAAUUCACCACAAAAUGGAUUCCGGUAAGUGUCUAACCUUGUUGAUAUUUUUAUCUUGAACAUUAGUUGGUCAAAGAUCGUUCUUUCUUCUUUGGUCUCAACUUCAAUCACAGAAGUAAACAGAAGACUUUAAUACAACAUGUAGCCAAUAACUUGGGCCUUUACGUUUCUCUUUUGUUUAUGUUUCGUUUGUCUCUUGAUUUAUGAUAAAAAAGUUAAUCGAUUUCAAGUUUGUUAAAAAAUUAUCCUCUGUUUUGACGUUUCUCAGUUCUAAUCUCAAUCUAAUGAAAUUAAUUUCCAGACACUUCAACUGCGACGCAAUUGAAAAUUAUUUCAAUGUCUUCACAACUUAUCUUAUUUUUAAACAGAUCUUACCAAAUAUUGCUUUUUCGAUUUGCAACGUUUUCUCGUCGAUAGAAAGGGUGUUAAAAAUAAUAUUAAAACUGAACCUACUGAUGAAGACCCAAAAGUCUCACCUUUUGAAUUUAUUUGCGCAAUAAAAACUCUUCCAGACUUCGAAGCUCAAGUUUUAGGUAAAACACCCGAUUGGGUUUGUAAAAAGUACAAAAUCGAUCAAGGAGACACUUUCACAAGAAUAGUUGAUCAUGUUCCAGCCACAGCAGAUCGCAGAGAUCUGUAUGUUUGUUCAACGAUUGGUAGAGCAAUAAUUGGUAGUGAGACUGCCAAAAUGCUGCAGAGUAUGGGAAUUCCAGAGGUCACGAAAGAAGAAUUUCCAGAGGAGGAGACUCAAGUGCGAAGUUUCUUGUCCGGUGGGUUCAAUCCGAGUACUCAAUCAAUAAUCGAAAAUGAAAAAAUUAUGAAGAGAGAAAUGAGAAAAAAAGAAAGAGAGAUGGAAAGAAAAACGAUGAAAAGAAGAAUUAUGACGAGAAAAACGGCUGAAAGAGAAAAGAGGAAAAGACGAAUCGCGUAAAGCGAAACGAUGGAAAGUCCUAUCUUUGUAUUUACAGAUGUGUAAAUGUACCUAUUGUGCGCGUCAAUUUGAAGAAUUAUGUCUUUGGAACAAGAUCCGAAUUUUUGGGUAAACAAUGUCUGCGAAUUCAUUGUCGUAAACUUUUGUUUCAAGAUGGAUUAAUCGAGAAAUACAAGGAUGACGUUCUCACGAGAAGAUACAAUGCGAUACAUCUCCCCUGCCCGUGUCCUAGAAAAUCUGGGCAAAGGUUACCUGUAAAGAUCUAAAAUUGAUUUGGGAAAAUUUGACAUUAUAAAGCAUUUUUCCUCUACCCUGUUUGAACGCUAAUUUCUCAGUAACCUGAAUUCCGAGAAAGUUCGAUAUAUUUUUCGAGUUUGUAGUUUAAUCAUGGCUUUCAUCUUAUGUGAAAAUUUUCUUUGUAACCCGUUUAGUUUGGCCUCAAUCUUCCCGCAAAAAAUUCCAUAGUUUGACUUUAUAUAUUGCAUGUAUAGAUAUAGAUUUUACUUAUCUUUUCUGAUCAUGAUUUAAGAAAAUUUUGAUUUUUUUGUGAAUGAAAUAAUUAAAUGUUGCGCCGUCAACGAUUGGAGCGUCAUCUAACUUGAGGUCAGUUGACUACGUUGGUCGUCAAUAAAGUUGCAGUUGCUCAAGUUCGGAGUCUUAUUUAUCGUUAAUCGUUUAAUUUCCUUAUUAUAUAUUAGUAUUUUUCAAAAUUGACCAAUAAAAUGGAUUCCGGUAAGUCUCUGCCCUUGUUUAUACCUUUACUUUGAAGAUUAGUUGAUAAAAUAUCGUUAUUUCUUUUUCGACUGAACUUUCAAUCACAGAAGUAAUCCGACGAUUCUCAAUAAUACAGCAUGUAGCCAAUAACUUCUGCCGUUACGUUUCUCUUUGAUUUUUGUUUCGUUUGUCUCGGCUGGAAAAGUUAACCGAUUUCAAGUUUUUCACAGUAUCUUCAGUUCUAUUUUGAAACUAAUGAAAUUUAUUUUCAAACGGUUCAACUGUGAUUGAAAUUUUCAUCAUGUCUUUUAAACUUAUUCAUUUUGCUCUGUUAUCUGACCUUAUACAGAUCUUUACAAAUAUUGUUUUUUUUCGUUUGUAAUUUGUUUUUUUACAGAUUCUGAAAGAAAGAUCAAUAUUAAAACUGAACCUACUGAUGAAGAAGUUCCAGAAGGCUAAUCUGAAUUUUUUGCUGCAAUCAAAGCUCAUCCAGACGCAGAGUAUUUAGUUUUAGCUAAAACUCCUGAUUGGCUUUGUAAAAAGUAUAAAAUUAAUCAAGAGGACACAAUCACGAGAAUAGUUGGUCAUAUUCCAGCCACAGCUGAUAGCGAGCCGGAGUACAUUAUCAAAACGGUUGGUAGAGCAUUGAAGGAUAGUGAGACUGUAAAAAUGGCGCUGGACUUGAGGUUUCCAGAGGUUACAAUCGGAGGAAUUGUUAAAGGGCAAGGUCCUCUUGUUCAAAGAUUCUUGCUCGGUGGGCCCAAUCCGAGUACACCAUUAGUACUUUCAAAAGCGAGCAAAACAAGGAUGAAAAUAUUAAGAAAAAUGGAAAAAGAGAAAGAAAGAAACAGGACGGGAAGAAGAAUUAUGACAAGAAAAACGAUUGAAAGAGAAAAGAGGAAAAACGAAAUGAUGGAAAGAGAAAAGAUGGAAAGAAGAAAGAUGGAAUGUCUUAGUUUUGCCUUCCAAUGUACUUAUUGUGGUCAUCAAUCGAACCGAUUAACCAGCUUGAAGGAACAAGAACCAAGAUUGAUAGAAGCCGAUGUCUCCAAAUUGAUUGUAUUAACCGAUUGAUUCAAGAUGGAUUACUCAAGAAAUACGAGGAAGAUGCAAUUCCAGUCACCUGUCCGCCUCCUAAAAAGCAACCCUGGGCAAAGAUUACCUGUAAAGAACCAAAGUUGAUUGAUUCUGAGGGGAAAUUUGCUAUUCCCGAAGAUAUAGCUGAAGAAUGGCUAAAAUUUUUCAAAGAAAUGCCAACAUGACGAAUUUCAUUUUACACUUUUACACUUAUCUUUUCAUUUGUAAAUAAAGAGCAAAAUGUUUUGUAUCACUUUCAUGUUAUUGGUUUGAUAUUAAAUUUAAAAUUACAAAAGUAUUUUAA